GAUGUAGCUCAGUGGUAGAAUGCCUGUGUAGUAAAUACAAAACCUUGGGUUCUGUCCUCAGCACAAAUAAAAUUGCCAAAUUUUUAACUUCUUCAAAAGCUUGUUCUCCAAGUCUUUGUUUUGAGUAAUAAAAUCUCUAAUCUUAACCUUCAUGUCACAUUUCUGGUGGCCUUACAGUGGCUUGCAUAUUAUAUGUGAAAAGCUCUCAAUGCUUUAAGAAGGAAGUACUUUGGGCUGGUGAGAUGGCUCAGUGGGUAAGAGCACCCGACUGCUCUUCCAAAGGUCCAAAGUUCAAAUCCCAGCAACCACAUGGUGGCUCACAACCAUCCGUAACGAGAUCUGACUCCCUCUUCUGGAAUGUCUGAAGACAGCUACAAUGUACUUACAUAUAAUAAAUAAAUAAAUCUUUAAAAAAAAAAAAAAAAAAAAAAAAAAAAGAAGGAAGUACUUUAGUACUUCACAAUGACUGAGCUUCUCCAUGUGAGGUAGGGUUGUGAGUCAGAAAGCAGGCUGCCAGGAACAAGUGAAGACCCCUGACUUGACCCUGUUUCCCCUGGGAAUGAAAAUCUGAUGGAGGAAACCUAAAAUUUGCAACUGUUGAAUUUCAUCUAAAAUUCAUUUUAAAUGUUCAUAUUUAUUGUACCUUUUCUAGCUCUGUAGGAUUUAUUUAACAUGACUUUUAAAAUUUUUAUUUUAAUGAACUUCUAUAGCACUGUAUGAGUAAUAAACAUUUGUUUCUACUUCCUUUUCUGACAGUAAGCACAUGUAUAAGUGUAAUGAAAAACAGAUUAAGGCUAUACAUAGGACUUUGUGUCUGACAUGUGUCAAUAUCUCUAAAAUAGGAAGUAGUAGACAAGGCCAGGGAAAUAUUUGACAGUAUUGGGAAGAGAGUUCUUUACAAUGUGAAAUAUCUUCUAAGAAUAAUGGCUUUUCAAUAGAGUAUUCAUUUAGGAAAUUGUUUUUUCUCUGAAGUUUACAGAAGCUAGUCUACCCUUUUCAUGGUGUUGAAAGGGUGUUCUAAACUUAUAUAUUUCAGUAUUAGCACAUCUUUAUUGAUUGACAACAGAGUACUCUACUGCUUUGAUAGAGUAAAUGGUAUCUCUAAGCCUCUGUGUCUUUUGUUUGGUUUAGUUUUGCUUUUUUUUUUUUUUUUUUUUUUAAGAGUCCUCAAAGAGGCCUACUCUAUAGACCAACCAUGCUGGCCUUGAACUCACAGACAUCCACCUGCCUUUGCCUCCCAAGUGCUGGAAUCAAAGGCAUACACCACCACACCUGGCAAGCAUCAGUGUCUUUAGAAAUCUUUGUUUCUUUCUCUCUCCUCUUUUAAAGAUUUAUUUAUUUUUUAUGUGUACAUCAUUCUGGCUGCAUGUAUGCCUGCAGAGCAGAAGCUUAUUAGAGAUGUUAUUACAUAUCUCAUUACAGAUGGUUGUGAGCCGCCAUGUGGUUGCUGGGAAUUGAACUCAGGACCUCUGGAUGAGCAGUCAGUCAGUGCUCUUAACCGCUGAGCCAUCUCUCCAGCCUGAAAUCUUUGUUUCUUAUGUAGCUAUUUUUUUUUCAAUAUCAUUUAGAAUAACUGGGAGACUUUCUGUCUCUUUUAACUUAUGUCCCUUUUUUAAAAAAAUACAUGUACAAUUUUGCUCAAUCCAAUGGACCGUUGAGCUUUGUAAAGAAGUUUGCUUUUGCGGUAUGAUAAAAGGCAUCCAAGGAGGGGCUGGAGUGAGUUCAGUGUUAGAUGUGCUUAACAUACUUACACAAGGCCCUGAGCAGCACUCCAGCAAAAGAAAAUAAACUCAAGGAUGAUUAUAGCCGCCCUCCCCCCCAAGUCUGAUGUCUCUCUCCCUCUCUCAAGGAUAAGAUCAAAAUUGAUUUCAGAAAGACACAUUGAGGUGUUCAUAUUUAUAUCAGACUGAAGAAAAGUUCAUCAAAUAAACUUCCCCCUCUUGGAAGGGUUCUGUCAUGUCCUUAGUGAUUUAGGAAGUAGCCAUGCUUGCUUGGUCCAAUUACUUGUGUGUUGGAUCCAAGAUGUAUUUUAAACAAAUAUUGGCAUAGAUAGUAAGGAGUUUCUGUUGUCAGUCAAAUGAGGAUAUAAAAC
rnacentral:lncRNA from 1 species